GCUGGUCUUUAAACUACCCAACAUGAAAGCAUACAUUUUAGGGGAAAAAAAAUUGACCCCAAAACUCCUUCAUAAAAUAAAGUAUUUCAUUUUUCAAAGCUUUAGGAUUAUUUGAGAGGCUAUAGUACUAAAAAGCCCCUAGAGUUCUGUUGUUUUUUUUAAAAGAGAGAAAGUUAAAAGUUUCCACCUUUAAAUAUCAGAGACUAGAGAUUUUACAAUACAAUAAGUGUCAGAAAUAAAAUGCAAGUCCCUUCAAAGCCAUAUAAAAAAGUAAGCCUCUGUAAAAAGUUUUUCCUUCCUUCCAACAGUGAAGUAUGAACCUAAAAUCAUAGCAAAUCGUUAUGACGGUCUUUCUGCAAUGGUGCCCAGACAUCCAAAUUAGCCAAAACUUUAGGCUUGCAUGUGCUGAGGUUAGUAAUGAUGCUUCCCUCUGAUACUCCACAGUGGCUCCCUUUGGUUAAGGAAAUACUAUAAGAAGUGCACCGGCCGGGCUCGGUGGCUCACGCCUGUAAUCCCAGCACUUUGGGAGGCCAAGGCGGGCAGAUCACGAGGUCAUGAGAUCAAGACCAUCCUGGCUAACACAGUGAAACCCCGUCUCUACUAAAAAUACAAAAAAAUUAGCCAGGCGUGCUGGCGGGCGCCUGUAGUCCCAGCUACUUGGGAGGCUGAGGCAGGAGAAUGGCGUGAACCCGGGAGGCGCUACUUGCAGUGAGCCGAGAUCGCGCCACUGCACUCCAGCCUGAGCGACAGAGUAAGACUCAGUCUCAAAAAAAAAAAAAAAAAAAAAGAGAAGUGCACCACAGGCCGGGAGCAGUGGCUCACGCCUGUAAUCCCAGCACUUUGGGAGGCCGAGGCAAGUGGAUCAUUUGAGGCCAGCAGUUUGAGACUAGCCUGGCCAACAUGGUGAAACCCUGUCUCUACUAAAAAUACAAAAAUUAGCCAGGCGUGGUGGUGCAUGCCUGUCAUCCCAGCUACUGGGGAGGCUGAGGCACAAGAAUCACUUGAAGAAAGAAGGCGGAGGUUUCAGUGAGCCAAGGUUGCACCACUGCACUCCAGCCUGGGUGACAGAGUGAGACUCCAGCUCAAAAAAAAAAAAAGAAGUGCACCAUGAAACAAAGCGUUCAAUUUCCCCAUCCUUUAUGCACUCCCUUCCCAAUGUACAGAGUCCACAACACAAAAUCCAUAAACUAUGACUACUUUAUUCAAAUGAUUUGGCUUUUUUUUCCUUCUCCAUUCUGUGUCUUCUAUAGCAACAAAUUUGUUUUAAAGGCAGGGGCGGAGGUGGAGGACAACUCUACUCUGAGAAAAUGUUAGCAGGUUGAAGAAGAAUGUCUAGGUCAGGCACAGGGGCUCAUGCAUAUAAUCCCAGUGCCUUGGGAGGUCAAGAUGGGAGGAUUGCUUGAGCCCAGGAGUUGGAGACCAGCCUGGGCAACAUUGUGAGACUCCAUCUCUACAAAAAUAAUAAAUAAACAAAAAUAAAUUAGCCAGGCAUGGUGGCAUGUGCCUGUAGUCCUAGCUACUUGAGAGGCUUCAGUGGGAGGAUCACUUGGGCCCAGAAGCUGAAGGCUGUUAUGAGCUAUGAUCGCACUGCUGCACUCCAGCCUGGGCGAUAGAGUGAGACCCUUCUCUAAAAAAAACAAGACUGUCUGAUGCUCAGUGUCUCUUGGAGAAUAAAAACCUAUCUCUCACUCGAAGCUGCUUGCUUGGACUCAUCUCUCUCUAUGAAGCCUGCCAGGUCCUCACAUACCAGGGGUGGUUUGCUUUCUCUCCAACAGGAAUAAUGGGCUUUUCAGCACUUUUGCCAAAUUACUGACAGAAGGACCUACUUCCCUUCCUGUGAAAAGAAACUGAUAGUGACAGAAGAAAGAGAAUAAGUUUAACCACUAAAUUAUACACUGCAAAGAAUGGAUGGAUAAGUGAAACUCCCACAUAACACUGUUCCAAAUUCCUUCCCAGCCAAAAGUUUAUAAGAAUGGCCAAGAAGUCACAAAAGUACCCAAUCUGAAUUUUCUUUUCCUGGAUUUUUAAUAGCUUCUGCCUUACUUCUCUCUUUGGAACAUAUUAUUUUUCAUUAAGACACCAACGAGGAGCAGAGUUAAUUAUUGCAUAAGUGGGACAUGUCAAGAGAUUUUACUUGACCAUGCUUGUCUCUUUCAGAGACUAAAUUAACUCCAUAAUUUGCCCCAUUAGGAAUAACAUUCACAAUUUAACAUUUGUGUUCAUUUUCUCCUAAGUGUAAACACUACCAUUGUCUCUGGUUCCAAAUAAUUGGCAUUUUUUACAGUAAUCUUUGUGCCUGACACGUUGUCAUGCAUAGGUGAGUACUUAAUAAAUACGACUGGGUGAUGGAUGUACUCAGUUACAGAAUAUUAAAAAAUGCUCCAUUUUUCAAGUCUCCCAAACAGCAAAACUGUUGUAGCUUUUAUGUCCAGCUUAGCUCAAAGCCUGCCUAAUUCAUUUCAAAAACUCACAAAUGUGUAAUCAAAGCUCAGAGACAGCUUAAAAGCACCUCUGUGCAUCACACCUGCCUGCCUAAAACACAUAACACAAACUCAAAAUCAAAUACAAAGUGAAUUGAAAAAAUGUAUACCAGAACUGGUUUUGCUUUCCCACAUCAAAAUUCAGAUGAGGCAUUCUUUGCUACCACAAGAAAAUCGGGAUUCAAAAUUUAAAUGUUAUGAUCUUUACUAAACAAAACAAAACCCUUCACACUAUUUAACAUUCCCUUCCCUUCUCUUCCAAUAUGAAAAAAAAGCCCAUACACAAUGUGUUAUUCAAAGUAGACUGGAAAUUCAUAGUACCAACAUGUUGGCGGCUAACUAUUGUGUGUUGAAGGUAAGCACAUCGCACUGUUCACAGCCAGGUGUUCUAGGUGUUCUAUCAAUGUUUUUGUGCUAACAAUUUAUCAUUCAGUGUGGAUGGGGCAGUGCCAGGCUGCCACUAGAGCAGCCUGGUGUGCCCAAGUUUAGAGAACAGGGAAUGUGUCUUGGUUAUAGAACAAAAGAAUUCGUUUUAUCACUUGCCUUUACCGCUGGAGAAAAUGGCUCCUGGUGUGCAGAACUCCAUGAUAAAUGUGCCCCCUCUAGUUCUUUAUUGCCUCUGAGUUGCUGGUGCUGUUGAAAUGACAAUCUCUUCUUGUUUUUAUAAGCUGGAUAUUCAGAUAAAUACCAGCAAAGAUAUGUGGUGGAAAGAAGGUUGUUACAGUAGAUUUAUUAUUAUGUUUCUGACCAUAAUUGUAUGCUUUCCCUCUUUUGCCAAAGAAAAUUCUGGUUCAGUGCUGAGAACAAGAACUCUAAAUUCCAC
rnacentral:lncRNA from 10 species